AUGUUGUCCAAUUUCUCACUUCCUUCUACCAUCCACAAUACAUCUCAACCUGCAAACACUUCUAGCAUCUAUCAUGAAGUUUCAAAUGGAGUACAAUCUGGACUUACCAAACAAAGAGAGGAGGUUGAAAAUCUUGAAAUAAGUAGUACUUCCCAGGUUUCUGAGCCUGAAAAUGAUUCCACUAGAGUUGUUAAACCAACUAUUCAAGUGUUUCAUCUAUAUCGUUUUCUGAAGCACAACACCAUCUCCGCCUAG